GGUGGCUUCAGCGGUGUUCGGCUGAAAAAGUGUCCGUUUUCAGUUCCAUGAAAUCAAUGCCGAACACCGCAGGUCUUUCGCAUGGUUUAAAAUGGCCGCCGCCUCCUGGUCGACAUAUGAACGACGACCACCCUGUAUUCGGUUUUAAUUGAGAAGUGUCUGUGGUUAACCGCAACGUUCUAAUUGGGAUCAAUAGGUUAACCAGCAGCACACUUCUCUUCUGGGUGGCCGUCCGUUCGGUAGUUUUCUUCGGCGGAAAAAGUCAAUUCACG